rnacentral:rRNA from 1 species
UUUAUUGAGAGUUUGAUCCUGGCUCAGGACGAACGCUGGCGGCGCGCCUAACACAUGCAAGUCGAGCGAUGAACCUCUUCGGAUCCCUUCGGGGUGAAGAAGAGCGGAUUAGCGGCGGACGGGUGAGUAACGCGUGAGGAACCUGCCUCUCACAACGGGAUAGCCUCGGGAAACCGGGAUUAAUACCGUAUGAGACCA